rnacentral:tRNA from 1 species
GUCGAUUAGGUGUUGUUACAUGCUAGUUUUUCGUACUGGAGUGGAUCUAUAUUUUGGGAUUAAUCGAUG